GUUUUACCCACAAGUCAACGGGACGAUAGUAUAAAUUAAAACGUCACCCGCCUAAAAUUCUUUUCCGUUCAAAUCGCAAUGGGGAACGUCUGGCUAUCGUUAUGGCCUUUUGGAAAAAAGGCAAAUGGCGGUUUCUUUGGAAAACAUUUUUUUCACAGUCUACCUAAUUUGGACUGCCUUGGUCUGAAUUUUAAUAAUGAUCAUGGAACCAUUAAUGGAAUAGCAGAUGUUUCUGAAGUUACAGAAAGGAAGAAUGGGUGUAAGCAUUUCAACCACAUCACCUUGAAUCUAAAAAGGGCCGGUGAAGAAAACCUUCUGCCAUAUGAGUUUUCGGUGUCUGUUGAAGAUUUGUUGACAAUCCCCUCGACAAGUCAAAGUAAAUGUACCUAUAGGUUGGGUCACGAAAGCAAGCAAGGACCGUUGUGGACCAGCUGACUUGACUGUUAAAUAGAAAAAUGUGAAUCAGACUUGACUGUUAAAUACAUGUAUUGGAACAGACACUGACUACUCUGGUUAAUGCAGCUUUGUCCAGUUAUUUACUUUAACUGUGAUUUAUCACAUCAAAUGUGAGGUUGACAAUUGUAAUGCUGUUGAAGCAUUACUUGAACUGUGCAGUAGAAAGAUGCGUACAUGGGAACUCUCCCUAACUACUUACACAAAUGUUUUGGGCAUGUUUAAGUGUACUGUAAAUUAGGCAAUAAAAGUACUCAAC
ensembl:lncRNA